rnacentral:tRNA from 1 species
AGGAUAUUAGUUAAAUUAUAACAUUAAAAUUGCUUUUUAAAAUUAAUAAAUUUUAUAUCUUU